AUGACCAGAGGUACAGGGCUCUUUGUCCCUGCCUUCUUGCUCCAAAUUCACUCUGGAUGCUGGGAGCCCAACAGGACUCCCAGGCUGCUGACAACGAGUCUCAAGCCCAGCUGCUGGAAGGAUGCUGCUCGUAGGCAGCCCCUAGCAUGUCACGGGGAAAACAUUUCCUUCUGCUACGCUUUCCAAGUCACUGAGGGCCUUCUGUGCAAACAGAGACAACUCCGAAUUCCUCCUUGGGGAUCUCCAGCCUGGACGUGGGGCUGGGCCCCCUGCUCGGGGUGGCCCUGCUGGAGCAGGGCUGGCACCACAGGGACCAGCAGCUGCCUGACACCACCAGCCAGUUGGGGAUUUGGGGCUUCCCAUAUUCUAUUGGCACAGAUUUGGUUAAGGUGGGAGAGCUGCUGCCAGUUCCUGAGAGCCACCUCUGGAGGUCAGGCAGGGAUGCUGGCAGAUCCAAACUACAAAGAAGAGUUUAGCUCCUUUGCAGGAGCUUUUGGUGCCUUCUGCUGGGAGAAACCUCAGCAAAUACUUAGAUGUUGCAGUAGGAAGACAAAAUAUCAAGUUUUUCCAUGUGCAUUCAGAAGGGAUGGGACCUGA
rnacentral:lncRNA from 1 species